GUGCUCACUUGCACAGCACAUAUGCUAAAAUUAGAAUACAGAUUAGCAUGGUCCCUGAACAAGGAUGACAUGCAAAUUCAUGAAGCUUUCUUUUGUUUG
ensembl:snRNA U6 U6 spliceosomal RNA